rnacentral:rRNA from 1 species
GACGAACGCUGGCGGCGUGCUUAACACAUGCAAGUCGAACGGAAAGGCCAUGCUCUUGUGGGGUUCUCGUGUGGCGCACGGGUGUGUAACACGUGUGUAACCUCCCCUUAUCUUUGUGAUAUCAUCAGGAAACUGGGGCUAAUAUCGGGUAGAAUCUUCUGAUCCAUGGUGUGGGAUGGAAAAUUUCGGCGGUUGGGGCUGGACUAGCGGGUUCUGCGCUUGUUGGGGGGGUAGUGGCUUACCAAGGCUUUGAAGGGUAGGCGGCCUUGGAGGGCGAACGGCCACCUUGGGACUGAGAUACGGCCCAGACUCCUACGGGAGGCAGCAGGGGGAAAUAUUGCACAGUGGGCGGAAGCCUGAUGCAGCAACGCCGGGUGCGGGAUGCCGGCCUUCGGGGGGUAAACCGCUUUCGCCUUUGACGAAGCGUGAGUGACGGUACUGGGUAAAGAAGCACCGGCUAACUACGUG